AUCAUCUGUCUCAUCAACAUCUUC
rnacentral:siRNA from 1 species